rnacentral:rRNA from 1 species
GGGCGGCUGCUUACACAUGCAAGUCGAACGGUGAAGCAGGAGCUUGCUCUUGUGGAUCAGUGGCGAACGGGUGAGUAACACGUGAGCAACCUGCCCCGGACUCUGGGAUAAGCGCUGGAAACGGYGUCUAAUACCGGAUACGCACCAGAUCCGCAUGGUUACUGGUGGGAAAGAUUUUUCGGUCUGGGAUGGGCUCGCGGCCUAUCAGCUUGUUGGUGAGGUAACGGCUCACCAAGGCGUCGACGGGUAGCCGGCCUGAGAGGGUGACCGGCCACACUGGGACUGAGACACGGCCCAGACUCCUACGGGAGGCAGCAGUGGGGAAUAUUGCACAAUGGGCGGAAGCCUGAUGCAGCAACGCCGCGUGAGGGAUGACGGCCUUCGGGUUGUAAACCUCUUUUAGCAGGGAAGAAGCGAGAGUGACGGUACCUGCAGAAAAAGCGCCGGCUAACUACGUGCCAGCAGCCGCGGGUAAUACA